rnacentral:rRNA from 1 species
UACGGAGGGUGCGAGCGUUAAUCGGAAUAACUGGGCGUAAAGGGCACGCAGGCGGGCUUUUAAGUGAGAUGUGAAAUCCCCGGGCUUAACCUGGGAAUAGCAUUUGAGACUGGGAGUCUAGAGUACUUUAGGGGGGGGUGGAAUUCCUAGUGUAGCGGUGAAAUGCGUAGAUAUUAGGAAGAAUACCAGUGGCGAAGGCGACUUUCUGGACAAAUACUGACGCUCAUGUGCGAAAGCGUGGGGAGCAAACAGG